AAAAAAGAUCUUUUCUUAGAAGCUCACCCAAACAAGCCCUUCGUUCACUCUCCACUUCUUACCGAUCGAAUUUCCGUUCUCUUCUCAAUCAAGUUUAUCCCAAUCAUUAACCUCAAUCGGAUCAUAUUCUUCUUCUCGGUCAAGGCUUUAUGGUCUCAGCGUGAAUCAUUCUCUAAAUUCCAAUUCUUCUUCUCGAUUUCAAUCCGAUUUUGGUAAUGUUCAUUGAGUUUCAGCUUAUACAAAUUCAGGUCUUGUAAAUCAUGCUUGCUUGAGACUAAUGAUUAUGCACAACAGGUUAAAUGGCAUUCCAUAGUGCAGUUGAUGUGCACACUGUUGCUCAUUUAUUCAAUGAAUGAGUUAUUACAGCUCUUAGGGAAAAAACAAUCAUUCUAGUGACUCAUCAAGUGAAGUUUCUCUCAGAAGUUGAUAAAAUCCUGGUGAUGGAGCGAGGGAAAAUUACCCAGUCAGGUAGUUAUGAUGAUAUCCUAACAGUUGGGACAGCAUUCGAACAACUUAUGGGGUGACCACUUGUUAAGCAAGCACUUCUGAUUCCGAGACUCUACCAGGAAGUGGUGGUUCAAAUGCUAACAACCAAUGGCGUGAUUUCUUCAAGCUUCUCAAGAAAGGCUCACAGAUGCCAUUUCAACCAUUUCACCCUCUUAAGAAGAAUGUUCCUAAGUUAACUAGAAGGAAGAGUAAGAGGGUUAGAGAUGAUCUCAUUCCUUCUUAUAGUAACUAUUAUGUCAACUGGGGCAUACAAAGUUGCAUCAAGACUGGCACGUGCAACACCACCACCACCACCGAAUCGGUGCCCCUGGCCUCCAGAACCUCCGACCGCUCUCUGUUGUGGCCGCUACUCUCUUCGUUUCUUAACUCUAUUUCUACAGCUGCGAUCACUAUGCCAAACACAACAAUCAGAACAAGAAUCAACGCCGAACAGAGGAUUUUGCUCCGAAUGUAAUUGCAGUGCUUGAGAGGAUGCUCUCCAUGCUAUCCCUGAUGACUGCUGCUGCACAACGUAGUUAUAUGAUGUAUUUGAAGAAACUAUUUGAACAAGGAAAAUUUGGAGCUUUCUUUGCAUCAAUACCCUUACCUAUUUUUGCAGCUGCACACUGCAUUCUAUUUGGUCUUGUAGCUUAUGUGGGGCUAUCAUUUCUGCAGUUCACUAACAUGAACUCAUUGAGGAACAUCCAAACAUUGUAGUAACUAUUAUAAGAGAAGUAAUUCUUUGUUGUUAAGUGCUUUUUCAGGUGUUACUUGCAUCAAAUGUGAGAACCCGAUGGACAAAGAACUAAAGAUAAUGGUGAAUGAUUCCAGUAGUGAAGUUACUCAUCGUCAUUAGGAUGGAGCAUUUGUUAAAGGAGAAGCCAUGUACUUGAUUUUUGAUGAUUUGAAAGUGCUUCAAAGCUCUCCUAGAAUCUUUAUGAAGGAACUUGUCCAGCUUGGCUACAAAGAUUUCAACAAUUUGACAGAAAUUUAUCAAAAUAUUGGUCUGAAGGAGGCAUUGCUUAACAAGUGGUCACAUUGAUCCUAUCUAUGUCUGAGAUUGUCGCAUAAAGUCAGUGACUCAACAUCUUCUAUGUCACAUAAAGCUCUGCACAUGAAAAUGGGUCUGCAUAGAGGGAAGCAAGUUCUGUUCUUGUCGAAUCUUCAAGUUUUCAUUAAUUUUUUUUUAUCGUUUUAUUUUGUGAAUUGUAUGUUGAUAUUGAAUGAGGAGUGAACCAAGACGUGUUUGAUAAAUACAUUUUUCUAGGAUUAGUAUAAGAACUAAGUCUUUUAUGUACUAUGUAUCACUUUUUCUUUUCUUUUUUAUAUGGAAUGUUCAUUGAGUUUAA